AGGUAGGAUCUGGAAUAUCUUCUCUUCAUGAAUCUAUUCUCUAAAAAUUAGAUCUUUAUCUGAUUUGAAAGUACUUCAGAACUCCUUUUGAAGUUGGAGCAGCAGCCUGUCGAAAAUGUCCUGCAGCCUUCUGUUCCAGGCAUCACCACGCCUUGGAUCUUUGCCAGAUGGACGUCCAACUCUUUGGAUGUGAAGGGGGGAGGAAGGAGAAUAGGGAGGACAUAG
rnacentral:lncRNA from 1 species